CACGUAGGCGGAUCAGAAAGUCAGAGGUGAAAUCCCAGGGCUCAACCUUGGAACUGCCUUUGAAACUCCUGGUCUUGAGGUCGAGAGAGGUGAGUGGAAUUCCGAGUGUAGAGGUGAAAUUCGUAGAUAUUCGGAGGAACACCAGUGGCGAAGGCGGCUCACUGGCUCGAUACUGACGCUGAGGUGCGAAAGCGUGGGGAGCAAACA
rnacentral:rRNA from 1 species